GAAACAUUGGAAGUUCUUGCUCACACGAAUUGAAAGUGAAACCGCAAAAGGCUCAUUAUAUCAGUUAUGGUUCCUUAGACCGUUAACAGUUACUUGGAUAAAUGCGAUAAUUCUAGAGCUAAUACUUGCAAUAUAAACACGAGUCAAUGGAACGUGUGCGUUUAUUAAGCUAAAGCCAAACGACGUUUUUGGUCGUAUAAUGGUUGAACUCUAGAUAACCUGCAGAUGGUAUGGUCUUGUACCGACGACAGAUCUUUCAAAUGUCUGCCCUAUCCACUCCUGAUGGUAGCAUUUAAAACUACCAUGGUUGCAACGGGUAACGUGGAAUGAGGGUUAGAUUCCGGAGAUGGUGUCUGAGCAACGGCUACCACAUCUAAGGAAGGCAGCAGGCGCAUAAAUUACCCAAUAAUAGGUCUGGGAUAG
rnacentral:ncRNA from 1 species